rnacentral:lncRNA from 1 species
CAAAAACAAAAUAUAAAUAAAGAGAAUCGGAGGGAAUAUAAAUCAAUUAUUCUUUUGUAUGAACUAAAAUUCCGAUUUUUCUAACACGAGCUAAAAAUAGAUAUAGAUACAACAAAUAUACAAUAUUUUUAAAAUGAAAAAAAGGUCAAAAUACCUUUUUACUAUUUGAAAAUAUUUGCUUAUACCCUCCAUCAUAUUAUUAGUCCGCAAUAAUCCCCGACAUCACAAAAUUGGUGUAAAAAUAUCUUUUACCGUUAGGACCCUGUACGAGUGGCAAAAUUAUUCCAUAUGGCAUAACAUAUUGCUGAUGUGGAUCCCCUUCAUUCCACAUGUUCCAUUUAUCCCUUUCCUAACUUCUUCUUCCACCACCACCUCCUUCUUCAGCUAACCACCACCAAUAUCAUAUCUUCCUCCACCACACACCUAUUCUUCCAACAUCAUCAGACCACUAGUAUUGACCAUAUUCUUUCACAAAAAAAUAGUCGAAAAUUUUUCAUUCCCGGAUUUGUUUCAGCUAAUGUGAAAUAGACCUAGGACUACUUGGCAACUAAUUAAACUCAAAGAAGUGAAAGAUGCUUUCUAGCUGCCAUAACAAGAAGGAAAAUCACACAAUUCAUGAUUUACUGAAAUACAGAGCAUAAUAAAAGUUUUUUCUGUGAUUGUACAUUCUAUUGGUUUCGAGUUCAAUGCUUUAUGAUUUUAGUGAGUAAAUAUUUUCUUUAUAAGCAGUUUUUGUCGCUAGUAUACUUUCUAAAAAGUGAAAGAAUAUCAUUUUUUGCUACCUUAUCUCACCUGCCUUGCUUAUUUUAUGAUAAAAGCAGUUUUAGGUUCCAUUUCCAGCUAUAGAGCUCAGCUUUGUAUAGCAGAGAAAGUUAUGUUUAAUUAUAAUAUGAUAAGAAAAUUAGGACAAAUACCUGGCAAAUAUAACCAACUCCCCGUUGAAGCUGCUCAUCUUUGGCACUUUGGUAAAUCCGAAAAUGAAACCAAAAAUCAAAAUGUGCCAUUGAGUUUUUGGUGAAAGAAUGGUGGUCAAAACUAGUGGUUUGAUGGUGAUGGAAGAAUAAGUAGUGGUUGGUGAAGAGGAAGGUGGUGGUGGAAGAAGAAGUUGUUGGGGUGGGGUAAAAUAGGAUAGGUGUGAUUUUUUAACUAAAAAUAGGGAUUUCGGUUAAAGUUUAUUUUUUGAAGAAUUCGGUUACCGAUAACCAAGUAAAAAUAGAAAUAAUUGAUGUAAAUAAUAGCUGGAUAGAAAGCAAAGUAAAUCAAUAUAUUCCAAUAGUAUUUUAUGUCCUUAAAGAUAUUCAUUCCUCACCUUUUAUAGCUAUUUAUAAGUAAUAUAUUUUUUUCCUUUUAUAAUGGAGUUAUUAUGGACAAUUAAUGACAUUUAAUGUAACGUUAUAAUUGAAAAUCGUAACUUUUUUAAUACAUAUUCUAUAAUGUUUUCCGUAAUUAAAGCCUAUUAAUUACCAAUAAUAUGCAUAUAUAGCCCUUUUGAUAUUUAGGUUCAUUCUUCCGACGCCUCUUUAGAAUAUCAAGAGGUUCGAGCACCUAUCCCUUUUGGCUUUCUUAGAUUCUUAUCCGUGGCUGCUAAAACUCAUGCCUCUUCAACUAUUCUUCGCCAACUGUUAUUCCUUUACCAAUCCAUGUGUCAUGACAUGUCACCACAUAAUUAAUUCUAUACAUUAACUUGAUUUUUCCCAAUACAGAUAGUCUCCCCCACUUGUUAUUUAUUCAUCAAUAGAGUAUUUGGGAAGUAGAUCUCAUUAAAGCAUAAAUUUUUGCUGCCAUUAUAUCUUUUCUAGGAUUGAUGCUUCAUAUGUCACUUCCAUUUAAUGCUCGUGACACAUUGCAUCUUCUAGUUGAUUCUGCAACUUUUUAGCGUCUUUUAGGGCUUUUUUGCGACUUCAUCAAUUACGAAGCAAGAGCUUCCAUCAUGACAUUUCCAUCAUUACACCUUUUUCUUUGAUGGUUGCUUCUGAGUAUAAAUAUAGCUUUUAUCUUUGUCUUUCUCAUAAAAAUCUUAUAAUAUUCACUCUUGUUUUCUUCUUCCUCGUACUGCCAUGUCUUCUUCAAACCCUAAUCCUCGAAGAGUCCCCGUUCUUGAUGAUCUUCCUCUUGCUCCUGUUAGAAGCAGAAAAGGAGGAAGAUUAUGUAGUUUAGGGUCUUCAUCUAUACAUGGUAUUUCUUUACCUCUAGUGAGUUCUACUCCUCCUAUUAGAACAAAGGGCUCUCUCUCCUAUAGACCUUCAUCAAGAAGUAAAGAUUCUAAUGAACCCGUUCAUGAGCCAUUAGUAGAUGAAAUUGUUCAUGCUGAACUAUAUUUUUAUAUUGAUAGAGAAUCGAUUAUGAACCAAGAAAGAUUCUAAUGAACCCGUUCGUGAGCCAUUAGUAGAUGAAAUUGUUCAUGCUGAACUAUAUUUUUAUAUUGAUAGAGAAUCGAUUAUGAACCGUCCAUUGUUGAUGAUCUUCCUCUUGCUCCUGUUAUAAGCAGAAGAGGAGAAAGAUUACGUAGUUUAGGGUCUUCACCUAUUCGGGGUAUUUGUUUACCUCCAGUGAGUUUUACUCUUCCUUCUAGAACUAAGGUUCUCUUUCCCAUAGACCUUCAUCUAGAAGUAAAGAUUCUAAUGAACCCGUUCGUGAGCCUUUAGUAGAUGAAAUUGUCCCUGUUGAACUGUCUUUUACACUGAUAGAGAAUCGAUUAGGAACCAAGUUUCUUCUAUGUCUUCUUUAGAUCGUGCUGAUAUUUACCCUUCUCAAAUCAACAAAGGUAUUAUCUCUAUUAUUCAUAGGGAUUGUUGUUGGAGACCUGAUUUCCCUAUUAUAAUUCCUAAUGUGAACCAAAAAAUUACAUCUUACUUGACCGGGUUUUCUUUUGUCUAUACAUAUCCUUUACACUGAAUUUUAAACCCCCCGUUGAUCCUGUUAUCAUUGAAUUCUGUUAUAUUUUUGACAUUUGUCUAGGACAUAUUGGCCUCAUUGUGUGGAGGGUUGUUACUUGUUUAAGGCAUUCAACAAGGUUGGAUAACUUGCCUUCCACUUUUUUCCAUUUGAUGCAUCUCUACUCCCCUAAUCUUUUCUGUCAUGAGAUUUUUACUUUAGUGGCAAGAAGUAAGAGAGUGUUAGUUAGGCCAGAGGACGUUAAGGACCAAGGCUGGUAUGCCAGGUUUAUUGCUGCCCCCAGUGUUGGUUUAGUUGGCGAAGAAAAUGUUCCAUAUCCUGAAAAGUGAAAUUUUGCAUGUAAGUUUUUCUUUUACAACUUUCUCUAUAUUUUCCCUUUAUUUUUCCCCAUACUGUUUAUCUUUUUUGUUUUUUUUUUCCAACAGCUAUGGGAACUAUUGAUGAAAUUCCUAAUUUUUGUAGUUGGGUAGAAAAGUUAUUGAAAGUUUCUCCAAUGAAAGGUAGAUCUUGGAAAAAUCUUUUGCAUAUGUUUGGCUGGAAGGUUAAAACUCAUGGUAAAUACUUUACUCAUCUCCUUUUCAUAUUUUCAUUCACCUUACCCUUUGAAUUUGUUUUGACCCUUCUUUUUAUCAUGAUUUCCCAUUCGUGGUGUAAGUGCCGACGCAGUCGUGGUUUCCAGAGUUUCUUUGGAAUUGAUAUGGAAAAAUAUUUGCAACAAAAUUGGAAGCCAAGUGCUGCUCCUCUACCAAUUUUGAAGAAAUUCAAGAUGCCUGAUAUUCUAAAAUACGAUGGAACAACUGAUCCACGAGACCAUUUAACUACAUUCACAACCAGUGUAAAGGCAAAGACUUGACCAAACAAGAAAUUGAAUCAGUAUGGGUCAAAAUAUUUGGUGAAACACUCACUAAGGGAGUAUUAACAUAGUAUUCUCUUUUACCCUAAAAUUUCAUAAAUUCUUUUGCUGAGCUUGCAGAUUCAUUUAUUAAAGUACACUCGGGAGCUCAAAAAGUCAAAAAAAGAAUGAAAGAUAUUUUCAAAAUAAAGCAAGGAGAUCCGAAGUUUCUUAGAGAAUUUGUAGAUAGAUUCCAACGUAAAAGGAUGUUGUUGUCACACAUACCUGAUAACGGGGCAGCUAUGGCUUUUGCGAGUAAUCUAAAUGAGAAAAGUUCAGAAGCCAGGAGAAACUCAAAGAAAGUCUACAAGAAUUUCCAGCAACAACUUGGAAAGAUGUUUACAACAAGUACUACACGAAGCUGCGGAUAGAAGAAGAUACCAUCACUCAGUCCCAAAAAGAGGAGAAGGAUCAAGACAUGCUGAAACUGAAAAAGGUCCAGUAAAAAUAGAUACGAGCCCUACAUGGGACCAGCAGAAAUAGACUCGCGUUCAAAGUAGGAUAACUAAAGGUACGAUCAUAAACGAGAGAUAGAGAAUUAGGCUCAUCAUCAAGGUUUAGAAAAGAGCGAAACACGCGAGAGAUGCAAAAUGAUGAUAGAGGCUCGGCAAAGUUUGGCGGUUAAAAUUUCAAUGUUAGCACAUUAGAGUUAGUAGCAGUAUUAAGAAGCAUGUGAGAUAAGGUGCGAUGGUCAAAGGAAAUAAGAUCAAACCUGAGUAGGCGAAAUUCUGAUUUCUGGUGCGAGUUUCACAACAAUCAUGGUCACAAGAUGGCAGAUUAUAGAUUGCUACAAGGUGAAGUUCACCAUUUGUUAAAGCAAGGAUAUCUAACCGAAUUGAUUAGGGAAAACGGUAAGCAAGCAUAUAUGAAGAACAUGCAGGAACCCCCUAAACCUCCUUCAACAAAAAGGACUGGUAAUGUUAUAAGCAGAGGAGAAGAAAUUAAUGGUGUGACAUAUACAACAACCAAGAAAGUUUCAAAAAUUACAGUCACACACGGGAAGCGAGUUCGACGUGUUUUUGAAGACGAAAGUAUUACAUUUUAUAAUUCAGAUGGUAUACUAACCCCACACAAUGACCCACUGGUAAUAUCUUUACUUGUACAUGACACUAAUGUAAAACGAGUUUUUAUUGAUCCAAGUAGCUCCGUGAAUAUCAUUUUUCUAAGAGUAGUAAAUAAAAUGCAAGCUGAAGAUAAGCUGAUACCCAAGGCGCACACCUUAUCUGGUUUUGAAAAUUCAAGCAUCGUAACAAAAGGAGAGAUCGUACUUAUCACAUUCACAUAAUGAGUUGUCAAAGACGAAAUUUCAAGUGGUAGAGAUGGACAUGACUUACAAAAUGAUUCUUGGUAGACCAUGGAUUCACGAAUUGGAUGUUGUGCCAUAUACCUGCAUCAAGUUAUUAAAUUUCCUUCACAAUAGGGAAUACAACAAAUUUGCAGUGAUCAACAAACUUCUAGGAGCAUAAAUUCCAUAGCAGAUUCAAGCACAAAAAAUGAAGAAAAAUAACAAUCAGAAAAUCCAGUUGAGGAUGCUGCAGCACAAGCCUCGACUGAACACGAGCAAACAGAUGUAGACUCGAGCCUCGAUUCCAUCCAAGAGCCAGAGGAAAUGAAAAAACUCAAAACGACGAUUGAGGAAUUGGAAGAUGUAGUAUCAUUUGCACCUCGUCCUGAAAGGAAGGUCUACACUGGGCCAACCUAGGCCACAGAAUAAAAGGUAAGUUAACUGAAUUUUUGAAAACUAACGUGGAUUGUUUUGCUUGGUUCCAUUCUGAUAUGACAUGAAUACCUCCGGAAGUAAUGACUCAUAAGUUAAAUGAAGAUACAUCAUAUCUACCUUGUAACACCUCAUUUUACACUACACCCCCGGGAAGGUGUAUCCAACUAAAGUGACAAUUGAAAAAAGAUUAUUUAGUUAUUAAAUUCAGAGUCUUUACUUGGGAUAGUUUUAUGGUGUCCCAAGUCACUAGUUCAAAUCCCGAAUCGAGAAAAAGAUUGACUAUGUUUUACAGUCCGCGAACCAAAAAUUUGCGUAAGAAAUUCUGUAAACUCGGGAGAAGGUGUUAAGCAUUCCCGAGUUCCGUGGUUCUAGGACGGUCUCUCAACUGUUACAAUUAGCUCAAUUAUCUGACUUUAAUACAAGUUUUAUACCUAUGUGCAUUUUUAAACUUUAACCACUUUUAAUUAAUUUGAAGAAAAAUUCAACGUCACAUAAAACACGUUUUGAACCGCGUCACAUAAAUGUACCCACAAUCUGCAACAUAUUUUAUAUAAUUGUUAGGAUUUGGAUUUGAGUCAUAUUAAUGCGCACCCGAAUUUAGGAAGGUAUGUUAUUAAAAUAACGCGCCUAAAGCAACUACACAUUUUUAACUUUGCGAGGGCCACAGAAAAUUCACUAAAUGACACGCCUCAAAUUCUAAGGUUCAAAACAAGAUUAAUAAAACGAGGGCCAUGCAAUUGUCAUUCUUUUUGGCAUGGCGCACCUCAAUUCUAAUUUUAGAAAAGGGGAUGCAAACUACAUUCAGAGGGCCAUAGCUAUUUAUGUUGUCUAAUAUGGCUCACCUCAAUCUAUUUGUGAAGAGUUUAAUUUAAUUAAAGAAAAAUCCUAAAGAAAUUAAAAAGGUGUUCUAUGUUAAAGUUUAAACUCAAAAAAACGGAAUAAGUAAACAAAGGUCCAUUUCUCUUUUAAAGUAUGAGCUCAAUUACUUAAUAUACCUAGUAAACCAUUGAUUUUAAAACGAUUUGCACGCCCAAUUCGAAAAUGUUCUAGCUGAAAAAUGGGGACUCAGGAUCGAAUCCCUGAAGAGGAAGAUAAUAACAGUAGCUUCACAGUUAGUCCAAAUGGACCACAUGGCAUGGGUAAAAGUCAAGCCCAUCCUCUUUUGGGAUUUUCAGAAAAGAACAAAGAGACAUGAACAUGCAUUAUUAGGUCGUGAAUCCACUUUUACAGCUGAUUACAAAUCAACAAUGAAUCAUGGAUCUACUCUUUAAACAUAUUAACCUCUACACUAAUCAAAAAUCCUAACAUGGUUGCAAGCGGACGAUUAUUACAAUUUAAAUAGCAAAUUAACAGUCAAAUAACUAAAUUAAAAAAGCUUUCUGCAAUCAAAACUGAAAUGACAUCCAAACCAACAAACUUAAACAUGAACGAAAAAUACAAAAACCAAAUACUGAUUUAACCAAAUGGGCAGCUUAUGUGGCUAGCAUAGUCUAAAUUUUAAUACUUAUGCAGUUCUUCCCCAAACUCAUUGUUUAUUCAAUAAACUCCAUGAUAAUUAUACAAACUAAAACAAGUAAACUAAGCAUAAACUUAGAAAUUCCAGCACCAAGGUACAUAUAAGAAGCUCUGCAAAAAUUUUCAUCAUCACUACUACAUACAUCAAGCAUGCUUUAACACUUCAGCAGCUAUCAUAGCCAAGAGAAUACCUGGAAAUGAAAAAGGGGAGAAAGAAAUGAGGCAGCAAUAAGCAACAACAAACUAGUCCGUAAGCACCCACGAAUCAGUAAGCCAAGCAAAAAACCAACUGGACUUAGCCAAUGAAAUAGCAACUUUUCUGAAAACAACACUUCAAAACCAGCUUUUCAAGACCCAAAAAUCAAACUAUUUUAGCCCCCAGAUUAAACCAGCAAUUGUUUCAGAAUUAGAAAGCUUCAGAAAUCAGAAAAGAAAAUUGAUGGAACAGUGUUUUACUGAAGUUUUCAGCCGUUUGUAUUAUUUCUGAAUUUUUACUAUUAAAGUCUUUGCCUUGAAUUGCAAGAAAAUGAGUUUUUAUAGGUAAGGAAGUAGGGCAGCCCGUAGGAACUAGAUUUUACAUUCUGCCCCUUUUUAAUUUUGUUUUUUGCUUAGAAAUCCCUAGGCAAAUAUCGGAUUUUCCCCUUAAGUCCCUAAUCCAGCUUCUUAGAAGCUUCCAUUUAAUUUAUACCAAGAUUCCCCUAAGCUAACUUCCAAAACUACCCCUCAAGCCAUGGUUAUUUACCCUUCAGCUCUUGGGUCAAUGUGACCCAGUGACUUGGCUGAAUGAACAUGCCGCCCUUCUUUUUUAAAUGGGUCAGAGACCCAAAGCCUAAACCAAUAAACUGACCCAGCUAAGUUCUAUAUGCAUCUGAAAAACAAUAUGACACAAACAUUGAAACGACUUUCCUAAUCAACAAUCUAACUAAGCUACUGAUUAAUUAACACAAACCUGCAGGGAAUUAACUAAGUUUUCAAAGUGACCUAAUUAAAUUAAAGUAAGAGAUUAAAUUGAAUAACAACCAACAAUUUAGCCAUGCUUAACAAACUACAAAACUAGAGAAAUGGACUUGGAAAAUAAAGCUAACAACGAAUAGAACCACAUAAAUUAUCGUUCAACUAGGAAUUUUGGACACACAUCAUUUGAAUUGACUAGAGAAAAGAAAAAUAAAACAGAAGGAUAGAUGAGAAAGAAUGAAAGUUAAAGUGACACCAAACAUGGACAAUGCCAGAAAGAAAAACCUACCGACCAAAAGCUCGAAUCAGGGACUCGACCCUCUGAUUUCACCUCCAAAUAACGUUAAUCGCUUGUUCUUUGUCAAGAACAAGCGAACAACUUCAUUUUGAGACCAAAUCGACUUUGAACAUUAAGAAAUCGCUGGAGGAAGAUCCUCUCAUGAAUAAAUGCGACUUGGAUUCUAAGGCUCGAACCUAAUUCUGAGAUUCGAGAAGUUCUGGCCUUAGUUGAGAGGAUCGAAGUGGGGAUUUGGAAAGAGGGGAGUGAGGAGGUCAUGGGGUGUUAAUUUGAAGGUGAGAGGAGGUAGUGCCGGCGGCGGAGGUGGCUGGGAUUCUAGGGCGGCACUAGGGUUUAUUGUUGUGUCUCUGAAGAAUAGGGAAAGCGAGGGACACGAGAUGGGGGGUUUUGAGGAGGGGGUGGUCUUGUUUGGACAUUCUUAUAGUAAGGGAGGAUCAGUUCUUGACCAUUCGAUCAAAG